GAUGAACGCUGGCGGUAUGCCUAACACAUGCAAGUCGUACGAGAGUUUUUAACUCUAGUGGCGGACGGGUGAGUAACACGUGAGAAUUUGCCUUUAGGAGGGGACAACAAUCGGAACGAAUGCUAAUACCCCACUAUGCUUUCGAGUGAAUGGAUUUUAUUCCGCCUAGAGAGAAGCUCGCGGCUGAUUAGCUUGUUGGUAAGGUAAGAGCUUACCAAGGCGACGAUCAGUAUCUGGUUUGAGAGGACGAUCAGACACACUGGAACUGAGACACGGCCCAGACUCCUACGGGAGGCAGCAGU
rnacentral:rRNA from 1 species